rnacentral:lncRNA from 10 species
GUCCCACCUUACCUGGAAGAACCAUGAAGAUCAAAUAGAAGGUCCUUGUGCAUGAAGCUCAGCGGAAAAAAGCUCGGGAUGUAGGGGUUGGAGACAGUUGUCGCUCAAGGUGCAAACUCCGGGCUGGCGCUGUGUGUGAACAGAUAACAACAAAAUGUAUGUGGCUGAGUCCACUAGGAAGACGCUUCUGUACCACAUGGAGUUCUCUGAAUUAACUUCCAGAUAUAUUAAAAUUAUUAAUGG